ensembl:lncRNA
AGGGCAGAAGAUUAGUUUAGUAUCUCCCAGUGUGAGGUCCCUGUUAGGCCGGUUCACAUCUGAUGGAGCCCCUUCACAACCUCAGCUGACUGCCUUCAAAGGAGGGUCCAUCUUGUUCCAAGAACGCUCCUUUCUGUGCCCCAGCCCUUCCUGGGCUUGAAUAUGCAAAGAUGGAUGAAAUUGAGGUUCAGAGAGGUUAGGUAACUCUCCUGUGAUCACACAGCUGAUACUUCUCCCAGAGCUAGGCCAUCUGGAAGAAGGACUCUUGAAUUGAACUACUGCACCAUUUUGCCUCUUAAGGAAGAGAGAUGUAAAAAGGCAGAUGAAGAAAAGAGCCAGGACGAGGCUGGAGAACUGCGGGAGGUAAGGGCCCCAAGAAAACUUCACAAGGGUGGGCUGACCGAAGAACUUUUAAGAACAGGAUUGUCCAAUGUCCAUUCGAAGUUGUUUUCAUUGUCGCACUUGAAACCACCCCUGUGACUUCCCUAAAUCUCCCUCUGCCUGUCCUGCACACAAAUACCUCUGUGGUGGGUUUCUGGUGGAAACAGCAGAAGGUGCUGGCUGCAUUCCACAUCUCAGCCAGAGCUAUGUAAAAACAAAACAGCAGGCCUGGGUCAGUGGCCCAACACAGACACUAAAUGAAUUUAGCAGAAGGCACAGCUCUGAUGCAGAGGAGAGUGUGAAAAUGCAAACCAUUGCAGAACCAUCCAAAGUUUUGGGGGUAUCUUUGUAUUUCCACAGGGUGUGGAAUAUGGAUUUGAACGGAUAUGUUUGAAAUCGUAAGGGAUGGGAGGCCCCCCACUGACAAAUGGGUUACAUACGGAUAGCUAACUGAGGCUUAGAAAGCCCCCAUGCCCUGAAAAUAAAUAUCAGUUCCCCCUCUGCAUCCCCUGCUGCUCUAACCUUGGGCUGGGGUUCAAAGAUUAAGACUCCAGUUUGUGUUUGGCAUGGGGUGGGCUGAUGACAUAUAUGAGAGAGAGACUGGGGAGGGGCUCAGAGUCCUUGGGGCCCAGUCUCUGACCCAGAGCAUAAACCCUGCUGCCAGAACUAGGUGUGAGGACAGAUGCACACGAACUUCUAAGGGACAGUGGGCUGGCAUUGCUGCCUGAGGUGGGAAGGGUCCAAGGACCUGGCCUGUGGCUAUGUCUGCAGACAGGCCUCAACUGGCUCCUGCUAUAAGGAGAGGAGAAGAGAGGGCAGGGAGCCAGGCAGAACUUGGCGAGGGACUCCGGAGAGGUAAUGAGACCAGGCUGGUAAACUCUGAUGAGGAGAAAGUCUGGAAUGCUGGGCCUGGGUGGGAUGGCAGUGCUGGCCUGGGCGCGGGGGUGAGGGGGCUGCCUCAGAGGCGGCCCUGAACAGUAGCCAAAGCUGGAGGAGGGGGAUGGCAGGAAGCAGGGAGGUAAAUUUGUCCCGCUGCCCACCUGGGCAGACUCAGGCCAUUAGGUUUCCCAGAGCAGCUGAGGGAUGCAUCUUGUCAGCUGCCAGAGUGGGGCGUGGCCCAGGGGAUGGCCAGGACCCGGCAGCUGCAGGCUCUUAGGCAAGUUCCUGCAGCUUUUCCUCGCUCUUCUAAAUGCUGGCUUCUCCAAGCCUCCCUUCUCCUUGCUGCCUCUUCUCAUCCUCUCUGCUUUCACUCCAAGGGUUGCAGCAGCCCCUCCGCCUGAUGACUUCCAGAUUGCCACCCCGACCUUGUAGCCAUCACCCUCGGGAUGGCCACAGACCCCUCAGAUUCAGAGGCCCCCAGCUCUGCUCCUCUCUGCAGCCCGAGGCACGAGGAGCUAGGGGAGGCUGGUCUCCUGUCUUUACCCCACUGCUUGUCUUCCCCCCACCAAGAAGAGAGCUAGACCUCAGGGGUAGGGUCAGACCAGUGGGUGGGCGCCGGGCAGAAUGUGAUCCCACACUUGCUGAGAGUCUCGUUCUGGGUAAGACUUGGUGGUUUUAAAACUCAGGCUCAGAUUUGACUCCAAACUUUUUUCUUCCUCCACGAGGGGCAUGGAGUCUGCCGGCGGCCCUCUCUGUGGUAAUACUGCGCUGUGCAGUGACCUCUGGACAAAGAUUCCUAUCAAGACCUCCCCCCGUGCUGUUACCCCUCCCUGACCAACUGCGUCUUCGCAGGAACCCAGAAGUCCAGGAGUCAUCCCAGCCGUCUCCCUCAUCUUUUCCCUGCCCCACGACGUCUCCUUAGUUGUCAGACCCACUUCUCUGCUCCCAGUCCUGUGGGGCCCCAUCCUCUCUCCCUGGACAUCGGCACUCCCCUCACUGGUUUCCCUGCCCCAGUUCCUUCCACCAAUGGAGCAACCUUUCUAAAACUCCCAAAACUUUAGUCUUAGUUAUAUCCCUCCCCCAACAUCCUCUGAUGGCUCCCUAGUACCUGAAGAAUAUUCCAGCUCCUUUUUCCCGCAUUCUAGGCCUCUCAGUUUGAACCCCAGCCUCAUCUCUAGCACUUGCACCCACUGCUUAGACCCCCAUGGCAAAUAGAUUUCAUCUACUUUGCAGCUGACAAUUGGUCAUGACUGGCCCCCAGCACAGUGUUGAGGGCUGUGAGGUUGAAUCACUGGGAAGGAGAGUGCUGGAAUCAACUAGUGAUGCCUGCCAUGGGCCCAGGAGUGGCAGAGCUGCA